UAAUACGAAGGGUGCUAGCGUUGUUCGGAAUCAUUGGGCGUAAAGCGUACGUAGGCGGCUUGGUAAGUCAAUUGUGAAAGCCCUGAGCUCAACUCGGGAACUGCAAUCGAAACUGCCUUGCUUGAGUUUGGUGGGGGAUGAUGGAAUUCCUAGUGUAGGGGUGAAAUCCGUAGAGAUUAGGAGGAACACCGGUGGCGAAAGCGAUCAUCUACGCCAAUACUGACGCUAAGGUACGAAAGCGUGGGGAGCAAACAGG
rnacentral:rRNA from 1 species